ensembl:lncRNA
UUAUUUAGGUGAAGUCACAAACAGUUUGAUAUCAAUUUACAAACACUUUAUGUUAUGCAUAUUAUUGGAAAUAUUGAGAGAGGGAGAGGAGAUAAUGGCAGCUUUUUCCUGAAACAACUAAAGGCAAACCCUUACCAUCACGAGCAUUAUUGAAUCAUAGUAUUACCUUAACUAUACCCCUUAGUAUGCAAGGAAAAAGGAGAAGAAAACAAAACAGAGAUGCAGAAUGAAAACUGUUAAUCAAUGAAAAAGAUUUUCAUGAACACCGGACUACAAAGGUCUAGUCUGAUGGUCAGAAUUUUUAAGUAUUCUACUAGAAAAACAAAAUUAUAACUUAGGUCAAUCAUUAUAAUUGACAAAGAAUUUUGUAAUGCACAAUUGGGCUAUCUGGCAAUGACAGCUAUGGUUAAUGCAGAACAAUGGAAAGAGGAUACUGAGCCUCACAGAAUAAUUCUGUUGACAACCUGAGUUAUUAUCCCGAGUGUAUGAUACUUUUCUGAGUCAAAUACACAUUUAUGUUGCAGCUACUCUCUCAAUGAAAUGGCAAAAGUAACAGCUGUAACAAGACAAGUUAUGAUUUAUUUUUUUUAAACAAAUAUAAUACACAGGGUUUUGAAGUGUCCGGUUGUGAUCUGCAAAGAUCCAGGAUUGCACAGAAGUUUGGUCAAAUGAGAAGGUUUAAUCUGCGCAUUAAAUUGGCUUUUGCUUUCAAAGCAGUAUUUUAGGGCAGGAUUCUCCUCCGGGAGAGUGUUCCUGACCUCAUUCAACCAGUGUUCAAUUUAUUCACCUUCCUGAAUCUUUGCCCUCUUUGGGUAGUCUGUGACAAGUGCUGCGCUGCAGGAAUUCCUGUUUUCCAGCAAACUGGCUUGCUCUGCAGGUUGGUAGUCCAUUGUUACAAUUGCUGAUUGGGUAAAAUGAACUUCCUACGUCUUCUCUAGCACAGCUUGCAACGCAACAGAAGCAGAGGUAAAAGAAUGCACUAGAAUACCAGAGCUCCUUAAACACCAACGGAGUCAGGCUUCUGACUCCCAUCCCAAUUGGUCUUCUGUUUUCAUGGAGUCUGGGGAAAAAAAGAGAGUUGUCUGAAGUUAUACACACAGACAUAAACUUGCAGGAAUGAAUCUCAGCUAUCCUACAUAUGCGCCAAUUACUGCACUCCAACUAAAACUAGGAUUUCUCACAUUGUUCUUUCCAUGUAAUGCAAAGUUACAGUCUUCACCAUUGCCUUAGAAAGGACAGCUGUCUUCAGACACAGCAUUUUGUAUGCUUCGACCUAAUUUUUACUGUUUAAUCAUCUGUGGAAAUGCAGAAUUAGAGAUACAGGCACUAAACUAAAUGAUGCUGAUAUUCAACGAGUCGUGGACUAAAAGGGGAAAUAAAAUCCCGUCAGGCUGCCUAACACUAUCCCUCAAAACUACAAAAAGAAAAUAAUUUCAAACCAACAGCCUGGUAAAAAAGGUUUUUGUAAAACACCUCGUCUUCCUCUUGAUAGCAUGAAUGUGGAAAAGCUUAGAUUCUGUCCAAAGUCUUAAGCCCAUAAAAGGCUAUUCUCUCCCAUUUUAAUUCUCCAGUUCUUUUGUCCAAGUGUGAUACCACAUCGUAUUUUGCUGAAGUAGUUUUAUACAACAUAAAGAGAGCUUGCAAGGAGCUGGGGAGAUAUGGGGAAACACAAAGGUCACGUGUAAAAAAAUAUUUCCUUGCUGCGACCUUGCCAAUGAUAAACUCAUGUUUUAUCAUAGGCCUCACUGACAUUUGACAGCUGCCUAAACCAUAGCUUCAUUUAAGGACAUUUUGGAAUAGUUGUAAGAGACUAUAUGCUACCAGUUAAAAACUGCUCUAAUAACAGAAAAGUGGCUGAAACCACAACAAUUAAUUGCACAAGUUUCACUUUUUCAUUGUGCUGCUAAAGUACUAGUCAUUUUACAAACAUCAGACUUUUGGUAUUUUUAGGAGUUAAAAUAAACAUGUUUAUUUUUUCUUUACACACUUUCUAGGGGAAAAAUACAUCAAUGCUAUUGAUAAAAAUCAACUAGGAAAUUUCCAUGGAAUCAAAUGGGAUCAAGACCCCUGGUGCCUCAGCAGACAACCAAGCAAAGCUCAGCAGUGACAGACCAGCUGCUGUGGAAGAAGUUACAAGAGUGGUUAACAUGACAAGCUGAAGGUCCAGUCUCAAAUGAGAUGAAAGCUAUAAGCCAUUGCCCAUCUGGUGCACACAUAAGAUCUGUAGGAAAACAAGGACUGAGCUGUUCACCUUGAGAAUAGAGAAAUGUAAACAGACAUAUCAGAAAAAAUUGAAGAACACAAAGCAUGAACCACAGAUGGUGCAAGGCCAACAGGCCUGGAUUUAUCUAUCUUACUGCCUGGUGUUUGCUCCCUUUGUCACAGGCUGGCCUAGAGAAAUUACUUUUGAUAAGUACCAAAGGCAAGACUUGGUGUGAUACACCAAGCACUUUCAGAUGCCCUGAAAAGGGACCAGGCUAACAUGAGUCAAAGAACUUAGUCUCUCUGUGCUGGCAAUCCCAAGCAAUCACAGCAUCUGACAAAGCAACAAAAAAUAUUCUGGAAGGCAAAGUUUCUUUCUACAGGUGCAAAAAAAAAAAAAAAAAAAA